rnacentral:rRNA from 1 species
GUCCACGCCGUAAACGAUGGAUGCUAGCCGUUGGCAAGCUUGCUUGUCAGUGGCGCAGCUAACGCAUUAAGCAUCCCGCCUGGGGAGUACGGCCGCAAGGUUGAAACUCAAAGGAAUUGACGGGGCCCGCACAAGCGGUGGAGCAUGUGGUUUAAUUCGACGCAACGCGCAGAACCUUACCAGGCCUUGACAUCCCGUGCUAAGCCCAGAGAUGGGUGGUCCUCGCAAGAGGCGCGGAGACAGGUGCUGCAUGGCUGUCGU